CAGUCGCCGCGGGAAUACGAAGGGGGCUAGCGUUGCUCGGAAUUACUGGGCGUAAAGGGAGCGUAGGCGGACAUUUAAGUCAGGGGUGAAAUCCCAGAGCUCAACUCUGGAACUGCCUUUGAUACUGGGUGUCUUGAGUGUGAUAGAGGUAUGUGGAACUCCGAGUGUAGAGGUGAAAUUCGUAGAUAUUCGGAAGAACACCAGUGGCGAAGGCGACAUACUGGAUCAUUACUGACGCUGAGGCUCGAAAGCGUGGGGAGCAAACAGGAUUAGAUACCCCUGUAGUCCCUGUCUCUUAUAC
rnacentral:rRNA from 1 species